GGAAAUCACUCCUUUUAUAGUUAACGGAGCGUCGAGCGGCUGUUUUCCGGGUUCACACUCACUCAGCAUGUAGAGGAGGCGGACCGCCGGGAGACACCUGGACCACCGACCGCGGACACGCACCGGAGCCCGGACACACGCACCGUAUCGAUCCGCACGCAUCGAUCAGCUAUCAGUGAAGACUCGAGACUCGGCGCAGCUCCCAGAUCAGAUUCUUCAAACAGCAACAUCCCGGCUGAGCAAGUUUUUUAACGAGAAGACGGCGCUCGCUUCCACUUCAGUUUGCAGCGUCGGCCCGCAGAGCAGCAGACUUUUAUUUUUAUUCAGUUUAUUUACAGGAAGUUCAAACUUGAAGUGACAGUUUGUCUUCACGCUCACA